GUUUAUCAAUUUUAUUUAUCUUUUCAAAUAGCCAACUUUUUUUUUUUAGCCAGGCAUGGUGGUGGGUGCCUAUAAUCCCAGCUACUCAGGAGACUGAGGCAGGAGAAUUGCUAAAGCCCAGGAGGCAGAGGUUGCAGUGAGCAGAGAUCAUGCCGUUGCACUCCAGCCUGGGUAAUAGAGUGAGACUGUGUAAGAAAGAAAGAAAAGAAAAGAAAAGAAAGAAGGAAAGAAGGAAGGAAGGAAGGAAGGGAAAGAGAGAGAGAGAGAGAAAGGAAAGGAGGAAGGAAGGAAGGAAGGGAGGAAGGAAGGAAGGAAGGAAGGAAGGAAGGAAGGAAGGAAGGAAGGAAGGAAAGAGGUACUUAAUUGAGUGGGUGUUUAACUUUUGAUAAGUAAGUAGGUGAUAACAAGGAAAAAUAAACUUCCAAGUGGAAGCAAAAUGUUUUCUACAGGCUAUCGGCUGUGUUUUGGGUUGACAAUUAGAACAAUUUGACUAGGAUAGAAGCAUAAUGAAUGUGGAGUACUUGAAAGUAACAUGGACAAAUGUGGGAAUGUGGCCAGUAGAUGGAGAUUUUUAAAUGUCAAAAGAUUGAAUAUAAUCUUGUAGGAGGUGAAGAUGUAUUGAAUAUCUUUGAGCUGAAACAUUCCACAGAAAACAACAAACUGUAGGAAUUUGUUUGCCAUAUAAGUUGGAGAGAGGAAGAACUGUAGGCAGGAUAAAAGGUUUGGAGGAUAUUGAAGUAGUUUAGCCUCGGAGAUAACGAAGUAAAUAAUCAGGAUGAUGGAAGUAGAAAUAGGAAGGGAAGAGCAGUUAAGGGAAGUGUCAAAAGAAUGAACAAAACUUGAUGACUGGUUAUGAAGGGAGAGAGAAAUAUAGAUACUAACUUUAGAGCUUGGAGCACAGACCCUUGGAGAAAAGAGGAUUUCUUGACUGAUAAUCGAAGUUGAUAAGGGAGAAUGACUUUGUUAGCCCGGGUGAUAAGAUUUAAUUAUACCCGAAUUGAGAUACAGCA
rnacentral:lncRNA from 1 species